rnacentral:ncRNA from 1 species
UUCUUCGGGGCAGGGUGAAAUUCCCGACCGGCGGUACAGUCCGCGAGCGCGUAUGCGCUGAAUUGGUGCAAUUCCGAUACCGACAGUUACAGUCCGGAUGAGAGAAGGA